GCGGCUUUCUCGGGCAAAGGCCGAGAGCCGGACGACACAUUGGCAGCCCCAGCGAAAAUCUGCCAGCCCGGGGGGCCCAGAGUCUUUCUCUGCAAGGGGAGUUCCCUCCCGAAGGUUUUGGCGCGGCCUUUGCACCCAGGAAUCUCCACCGCUGGAGCCCCUGGAACCGGAGUCGACAGCCUGAGCCCAGAGAGUCCCUUUGACCAAUCCACCGUGGCCCCGGAAGACUGAAGGCUCGGAGGCCUCCGGUGUUUGCUCCUCUAGGGGAUCCCGCCCAGGGAUGAUGCACCCACCAGAGGGUCCCUUACUGGAAGGAGCUGGUCCAACGUCCUCACUUCACGGAGAAGGAAAAGCUCAUCCCCGGAGGAAGGGUUUUGCCCCCAGCUCCUGCAACCAGUUAAAUAAUUAUGGAGUCCCCUUUCCUUGGACCCCAUUUUGGCCGAGGAUCCGUAGACUACCGAAGGAGGAGGCAGAGGGAGCAACAGAAGCAGGCGGCGCAAUGGCGAAAGGUCGCAGGCAGCCAGGAGCCCGCAUACACAGACAGUCACGAAGGGCCUCGCUCACGGACGCGCUCCGGCAGACACGCCCAAACUCCACCGGCUCCCACUCCAUUCUUCUCGCAGUUGGGCUAGGUGGACCGACAGACGUCCACCAGGAUAUCUGGUGGCCUGCGGGGAUUCCUCCUCUGAGACACCCGGACUACGUGAGCGACUCUGAGUGAAAAUGAGUCCGUUGGCCCGGGCCUCUCCUCCCGCCUUCUCCCGGCUCCUGCGUUCAGAAUGGGAGAAACAGCGCGGUGGCUGCUGUCCGGAGCAGGCCGGGCUGGGCUGGAGGACAGGUGUCCAUGUGUGCUUCGCCAAGCCCCGCCACAGUGUGAGCCCCCGGGCACUGCAGCUGCGGGCUGCUAUAAGACGGAGCAGGAAGGGUAUGCCUGCUCCCGGCUGAGAAGGCUUCCCAGCGUCCCAGCUCCCCUCUGCGCGCCCACCCCCGGCACAGUCCUGAUGGGAGCCGAUGAGCCUGAGCUCGGGCCAGCGGCUUGCUUCCGGCAAGGAUGGAAUCCUUUCUAUUCCUUAUUUUGAUGAACGCCUUGCAAUUGUCGGGAAAGGGGCUGCGUGAGGUGGUGGUAGAGGCCUGACACAUACCCCUGCCUGCCCACUCGGCAGUGUCCCGCGCCCUUGGCCUGGGCCUCAGGCUCCUUAGGGACUGUAGAGCUGGGUGUCUGCGCUUCUGUGUGUGUGCCUGGAUCUGGCUCUCUGGCGCUCUCUGUCUCAGUCUAGCUCUUUCUCCCUCAGCCGUUCUCUUGGGCUCUGUGUCUCUGAUCGAGUACGUUGGACUCCUUUUCUUUAGGAAAAUUGUAUGAUUCUCCGUCCUCGCUGCUCAAACUUGAUCUAGUUCCCUGGAAUGUGUGUAUGGGUACCAGGGCCCCUUGGGAAUUUGGUGAGAGCCCGCUCAGGGGUUCUCCUGGCCACCCCCCCAAUAAAUUCCCCUUUUUCCCAACCUAGCCA
rnacentral:lncRNA from 1 species